CCUACGGGAGGCAGCAGUGGGGAAUAUUGGGCAAUGGAGGAAACUCUGACCCAGCAACGCCGCGUGAAUGAUGAAGGUCUUCGGAUUGUAACGUUCUUUUCUAAGGGAAGAAGUAAGUGACGGUACCUUAGGAAUAAGCCUCGGCUAACUACGUGACAGCAGCCGCGGUAAUACGUAGGAGGCAAGCGUUAUCCGGAAUGACUGGGCGUAAAGGGUGCGUAGGUGGUUUGACAAGUUGGUAGCGUAACUCCGGGGCUCAACCUCGGCACUACUACCAAAACUGUUGGACUUGAGUGCAGGGGGGGCGAAUGGAAUUCCUAGUGUAGGGGUGGAAUGCGUAGAUAUUAGGAGGAACACCAGUGGCGAAGGCGAUUUGCUGGACUGUAACUGACACGGAGGCACGAAAGCGUGGGGAGCAAACAGGAUUAGAUACCCGAGUAGUC
rnacentral:rRNA from 1 species